AUACUCCUACGGGGGGCAGCAGUGAGGAAUAUUGGUCAAUGGGAGAGAUCCUGAACCAGCCAAGCCGCGUGAGGGAAGACGGCCCUAUGGAUUGUAAACCUCUUUUGCCGGGGAGCAAAAAGCGGUACGUGUACCGCAUCGAGAGUACCCGGAGAAAAAGCAUCGGCUAACUCCGUGCCAGCAGCCGCGGUAAUACGGAGGAUGCGAGCGUUAUCCGGAUUUAUUGGGUUUAAAGGGUGCGCAGGCGGCGAGUUAAGUCAGCGGUAAAAUUUCGGGGCUCAACCCCGACGAGCCGUUGAGACUGG
rnacentral:rRNA from 1 species